rnacentral:rRNA from 1 species
UACGUAGGUGGCAAGCGUUGUCCGGAAUCAUUGGGCGUAAAGCGCGUGUAGGCGGCUCGGUAAGUCCGCUCUGAAAGCCCGGGGCUCAACCCCGGGAGGCGGGUGGAUACUGUCGGGCUAGAGUCCGGAAGAGGCAAGUGGAAUUCCUGGUGUAGCGGUGAAAUGCGCAGAUAUCAGGAGGAACACCGAUGGCGAAGGCAGCUUGCUGGGACGGUACUGACGCCUGAGACGCGAAAGCGUGGGGAGCAAACAGG